rnacentral:lncRNA from 1 species
CACAGGCUGGAACAUUAUGCUGCCCUCAAAAAUCACAUUACAGACGAGCGUUUCAUGAUGGGAAAACGCUCCCGGUGCGGUAUUAAGGACAAAAAAGCAAGAUAGGACAUAGUAAGUACAAUCUGAUCCAAAUUAUGUCAUAAAUACAUAUUUGGUAAAAGACUGACACGCAAAACACCCAAAUGCUCGUGUUUUCUAUAGAAAACACAUGCUCUUGUUUUUUUUUUUUUUUUAAUAACCGGAAAAAUAGAACAUUUUAAAAGAAUCCAUUAGCCUUCAGGGCUCAGCCCCGGCAGGCCCUCUGCUAAGCCCCCCAGCUCUGCUGAGGCAGCAGCCUGCACCCCACUUUACCUCCCGCGUCCACCCCUGCCCGGUACGGUCCCCCCCCGGGCAGCGGACAGCGUGCUGUGCUGUGGCCCCUGACGAGCCUGCGGGUAGGGCCCAGCCGCCCCUGCCCGCAGCCCUCCUACCGCCCUUGGCAGCCUUGCAGAUAACCCUGGCCACAUCCCCGCUCCCGGGCUCCCGGCAGUAAUUACAGGUUAAGGCAGAGGGGCUAAUUAGCUGCUCAACCCACCCAGAACUGACUGAUUAGCAGGAAUAUUCUGAUAGAGAUAACCGGACUUCAAAGCAAGGCCCGGAGUCCAGAAGGGAACCCAGCCAUCUGCUCCCCGCCACGCCCCACCAGCUUCCCGGGUGGCAGGACAGGGUAGGUCGAGCCUCGGCUGCACCAGAACCGCCACCUAAUCCUUCAGGAGAAGGGGCUUGAGGCCCACUGCCCCGCGGAGCCUCCGGGGGGGCUUCCCCUGAAAAUGGGACGACGCUCCGUCCAACAUGCCCCAGCCUUCCCUGGGGCUCCUUCCAGUUAGCAAAGUCCCUCUGCGGCCUUCGCCUGGUCCCAGAAGCCUGUCAAGAACAGUGGGUUGGCUCAGAUAAGGAGAAGUCACUCGUCCAAGGUCAUGAGCCAGCCAGGAGACAAGUCAGGAGCACGCCAGGUCCCCCUCCUUGCCCAUCCACCGCUUCUUCGGUACUCGCCCCGCGUGGGACACGGGAGAGGCUGCCCCUUAUCAGCUGUGGCCGGGUGGCCUCUGAUGUGCCCACAAGGUCUGACCUAACGGUUUGGACUCCGAAGCAACCUUGAGGACAGGCACCGGGCCGCUGCUGGCACAGGGCUGGGGCCAGUAACGUGUUUGCCCAGAGGAGAAUGAUGCCGCUGUUGCCUGGGGGCCUAGGAGUGAAGGGAAAUCAGGCUCCCACGCUGCGGCUGCUCCCGUUCCACCCGGUCCCUUCACACUGUCAUGAUCCUGGAAGAAAAUGCAAUGCAAUCUGUUUUGAAGUCUUCAGAAAAUAAUAAGCCACAGAGUUGUCAGAGCUGAAAGGAACCUCAGAGCGCAAGGGCCCAACCUGAAGGACCCGAGGCCCAAGGUCACGCAAGGAGGGGGAAGCUGUCCUGAGUCUGUGCCCCUGCGCUCUGCACAACUCACACAGAGGCCGGGGCCUGGGGACCCAAUCUCUGCUGCCUAUGGGGGCUAUGGGGGGGUUGCGAGCAGAGAGAAGGAGGAGGCAGGGAGCGCAGACACAGGGGCAGGAGUGGCAUGAAGCCGGGUUGUGGCGUGAUGGAUGGGGCGGGGGGAGCUGGAGCGGCUGCUGGAACCACAGCUCCCCUGAGCCCCGUCCCUCCGCGAUAAGAUAAUC